rnacentral:misc_RNA from 1 species
GAUGAAGAACGUAGUGAAAUGCGAUACGUAAUGUGAAUUGCAGAAUUCAGUGAAUCAUCGAAUCUUUGAACGCACAUUGCGCCCGCCAGUAUUCUGGCGGGCAUGCCUGUCCGAGCGUCAUUUCAACCCUCGAACCCCUCCGGGGGGUCGGCGUUGGGGAUCGGCCCUUUCACCGGGUGCCGGCCCCUAAAUACAGUGGCGGUCUCGCCGCAGCCUCUCAUGCGCAGUAGUUUGCACACUCGCACCGGGAGCGCGGCGCGUCCACGUCCGUAAAACACCCCAAACUUCUGAAAUGUUGACCUCGGAUCAGGUAGGAAUACCCGCUGAACUUAAGCAUAUCAAUAAGCGGAGGA